CCUACGGGAGGCAGCAGUCGGGAAUUUUGGGCAAUGGGCGAAAGCCUGACCCAGCAACGCCGCGUGAAGGAUGAAGUAUUUCGGUAUGUAAACUUCGAAAGAAUAGGAAGAAUAAAUGACGGUACUAUUUAUAAGGUCCGGCUAACUACGUGCCAGCAGCCGCGGUAAUACGUAGGGACCAAGCGUUGUUCGGAUUUACUGGGCGUAAAGGGCGCGUAGGCGGCGUGGUAAGUCACUUGUGAAAUCUCUGAGCUUAACUCAGAACGGCCAAGUGAUACUGCUGUGCUAGAGUGCAGAAGGGGCAAUCGGAAUUCUUGGUGUAGCGGUGAAAUGCGUAGAUAUCAAGAGGAACACCUGAGGUGAAGACGGGUUGCUGGGCUGACACUGACGCUGAGGCGCGAAAGCCAGGGGAGCAAACGGGGAUUAGAUACCCCCGGUAGUCCUGGCCCUAAACGAUGAAUACUUGGUGUCUGGAGUUAUUAGUGCUCCGGGUGCCGUCGCUAACGUUUUUAGUAUUCCGCCUGGGGAGUACGCUCGCAAGAGUGAAACUUAAGGAAUUGACGG
rnacentral:rRNA from 1 species